UCGUCUAUAAGGUAUGAAAAUUAUUUGCCUUCUUGAAGGAACACAUUUUUAAUUUUAUUGUGUUAUAGGUUAAAUGUAAAUUACAACUCUCCAUAAUUCAAAAUAACCAAACACACUAAAAUGAUUUCUUCCGUCAAAAUAUAUCCUAGAAAAGCAAUUUUCGUCAUACCAAAAUUGUCAGAACUCAAAUGUAUCUACUGCAAAGACUUUCAAGCUUAUGCUUCAUGAAUGUUAACAAUUCCGAUGUAAUCGCAUAAGUGGAGUUUGGAAAGUAUAGUGUAUACAUAAAUCUCACCUCUUUGAGAAGGUGGAGAAGUUGUUUCCA
rnacentral:lncRNA from 1 species